CAGUAGCCGCGGUAAAACAGAGGGUGCGAGCGUUAAUCGGAUUUACUGGGCGUAAAGCGUGCGUAGGCGGCUUCUUAAGUCGGAUGUGAAAUCCCUGAGCUUAACUUAGGAAUUGCAUUCGAUACUGGGAAGCUAGAGUAUGGGAGAGGAUGGUAGAAUUCCAGGUGUAGCGGUGAAAUGCGUAGAGAUCUGGAGGAAUACCGAUGGCGAAGGCAGCCAUCUGGCCUAAUACUGACGCUGAGGUACGAAAGCAUGGGGAGCAAACAGGAUUAGAUACCCGGGUAGUCCCUGUCUCUUAUAU
rnacentral:rRNA from 1 species